AUGCUGGAACAUCUGCCAUUAGCAGUGGAGAGGCAUUUGGCACUGCAAUACUGACUGUUGUAGGGUGUUGCUUACAAUCAGUAGGUCUAAAGAAGUCUUCUUCGUCAUAUGUAGGUUAACUGCAAAACCUGUAUCACCAGUCAAAGGUGUCCCUCGGCCACUGAAUCCCAGGUGAAUCAAUUGAUUAUAAAUCGGGGACGGAGUUCCGGACAAGGUGGUCUACAAAGCUUAAAUCCUUAUGCUGUCAGAUUCCCAUGAAGAAAUCAGAUGUAAGAUGCGAAGUGGCUUGAGGUUCAUGGUUCCUAAGAUUGUGGACCUCACUGUUAAGGAGAGCAGCUGCUGCGAAGAUGCGCCCCUAUCAACUCUGUCAAGCACAUAGAGAGCACUUGAGGAUGCAAGUGCGGCCAGGAAAGAGAAGUUUGUCCGAACAAAGGAGGCCCAAGAGAUCAAAUAGUUCAAAAAUUCCCAAGUGGAGACUGAACUUGGCCCAUUACAGCCUUUUCAGUGCCAAGAGGAGAAAAAAAAAAUCAGGAGGCUCAAAGAAGAGAGCACAGCCCUCUGGCUGGAAAUGGAUAAUCUAGAGGCUAUGAACCUCAAACUACAGGAGUAAAUUGUUGAACUGUUAAAAAUAGAAAGAAAGUUGUACAUGCCUAGGUGAGGCAAUGUACCCCCAGCACCAUACCAGCAAAGAGUGCUGGACACACCUGCAACCCCAGCACUACCCAGGCAGAAUCAACAAGCACCCUAUGUAGAGCCCAAGAGGACAAAGAGGCCAGAAAGCAGUUGUACACCGCAAUUGAUAACAUAAUAAUAAUUCUGAUAAUUAAUUUUGAAAACAUUUGAUAAUCAUUGUUGGUUUCAGCAAAUUGUGAUGUAUCAUUACGACAGUAGGUUCAGUGUUAAACUUGCCUCCAACAUUAAUGACUUGUCAUUCAGUGACACUGAACUGUUGAAUAAUCUCAUAUA